GACGAACGCUGGCGGCGUGCUUAACACAUGCAAGUCGAACGAAGAGCGAUGGAAGCUUGCUUCUAUCAAUCUUAGUGGCGAACGGGUGAGUAACGCGUAAUCAACCUGCCCUUCAGAGGGGGACAACAGUUGGAAACGACUGCUAAUACCGCAUACGAUCCAAUCUUGGCAUCGAGACUGGAUGAAAGGUGGCCUCUAUUUAUAAGCUAUCACUGAAGGAGGGGAUUGCGUCUGAUUAGCUAGUUGGAGGGGUAACGGCCCACCAAGGCGAUGAUCAGUAGCCGGUCUGAGAGGAUGAACGGCCACAUUGGGACUGAGACACGGCCCAGACUCCUACGGGAGGCAGCAGUGGGGAAUCUUCCGCAAUGGACGAAAGUCUGACGGAGCAACGCCGCGUGAGUGAUGACGGCCUUCGGGUUGUAAA
rnacentral:rRNA from 1 species